CAGUAGCCGCGCGGUAAUACAGAGGGUGCGAGCGUUAAUCGGAUUUACUGGGCGUAAAGCGUGCGUAGGCGGCUUCUUAAGUCGGAUGUGAAAUCCCUGAGCUUAACUUAGGAAUUGCAUUCGAUACUGGGAAGCUAGAGUAUGGGAGAGGAUGGUAGAAUUCCAGGUGUAGCGGUGAAAUGCGUAGAGAUCUGGAGGAAUACCGAUGGCGAAGGCAGCCAUCUGGCCUAAUACUGACGCUGAGGUACGAAAGCAUGGGGAGCAAACAGGAUUAGAUACCCGCGUAGUCCCUGUCUCUUAU
rnacentral:rRNA from 1 species